AAGUCGUAACAAGGUUUCCGUAGGUGAACCUGCGGAAGGAUCAUUAGUGAAAUUGAGAGCUUCUACGCUCUCUUCUCUAUUACAUUCUUCAUUGUGCACAGGCAGGCAGUUGAGAGGAAACUCUCUUCUGUUUGCUGUUACCAUAUUCUUUAUCAUCAACUUGUCGCGUAUGUUUUUUUGGGUUGAAUCUCAUGUCACAUGAGAGAAAACUAAGUACAA
rnacentral:misc_RNA from 1 species